rnacentral:rRNA from 1 species
GAUGAACGCUGGCGGCGUGCCUAAUACAUGCAAGUCGAGCGAACGGACGAGAAGCUUGCUUCUCUGAUGUUAGCGGCGGACGGGUGAGUAACACGUGGAUAACCUACCUAUAAGACUGGGAUAACUUCGGGAAACCGGAGCUAAUACCGGAUAAUAUUUUGAUCCGCAUGGGUCAAAAGUGAAAGACGGUCUUGGUGGCAGUUAUAGAUGGAUCCGCGCUGUAUUAGCUAGUUGGUAAGGUAACGGCUUACCAAGGCAACGAUGCAUAGCCGACCGGAGAGAGUGGUAGGCCACACUGGAACUGGGCCACGGUCCAUGCUACUACGGGAGGGCGCAGUAGGGAAUCGUCGGCAGUAGGCGAGAGCAUGGCGGAGCAACGCCGCGUGAGUGAUGACGGUCUUCGGAUCGUAAAACUCUGUUAUUAGGGAAGAACAUAUGUGUAAGUAAAUGUACACAUCUUGACGGUACCUAAUCAGAAAGCCACGGCUAACUACGUG